AACGAACGCUGGCGGCAUGCCUAACACAUGCAAGUCGAACGAAGGCUUCGGCCUUAGUGGCGCACGGGUGCGUAACGCGUGGGAAUCUGCCCUUUGGUUCGGAAUAACAGCUGGAAACGGCUGCUAAUACCGGAUGAUGACGAAAGUCCAAAGAUUUAUCGCCAGAGGAUGAGCCCGCGUUGGAUUAGGUAGUUGGUGGGGUAAAGGCCUACCAAGCCGACGAUCCAUAGCUGGUCUGAGAGGAUGAUCAGCCACACUGGGACUGAGACACGGCCCAGACUCCUACGGGAGGAAGCAGUGGGGAAUAUUGGACAAUGGGCGCAAGCCUGAUCCAGCAAUGCCGCGUGAGUGAUGAAGGCCCUAGGGUUGUAAAGCUCUUUUACCUGGGAAGAUAAUGACUGUACCGGGAGAAUAAGCCCCGGCUAACUCCGUG
rnacentral:rRNA from 1 species